rnacentral:rRNA from 1 species
AGCAGCCGCGGUAAUUCCAGCUCCAAUAGCGUAUAUUAAAGUUGUUGCAGUUAAAAAGCUCGUAGUUGAAUUUCGGGGUCAAUAGGUUGGUCGUGCCAAUGGUAUGUACUGGCUUUAUUGAUUCCUACCUCUUGACGAACUGUGAUGCCAUUAAUUUGGUGUUGUAGGAAAUCAGGACUGUUACCUUGAAAAAAUUAGAGUGUUUAAAGCAGGCUUACGCUUGAAUACAUUAGCAUGGAAUAAUGAAAUAGGACGUUUGAACCUAUUUUGUUGGUUUCUAGGAUCGACGUAAUGAUUAAUAGGGAUAGUUGGGGGCAUUAGUAUUCAAUUGUCAGAGGUGAAAUUCUUGGAUUUAUUGAAGACUAACUACUGCGAAAGCAUUUGCCAAGGAUGUUUUCAUUAAUCAAGAACGAAAGUUAGGGGAUCGAAGACGAUCAGAUACCGUCGUAGUCUUAACCAUAAACUAUGCCGACUAGGGAUCGGAUGAUGUUAAUUUUUAAUGACUCAUUCGGCGCCUUAA